GGAUGUGAGGGUACUCGGGCCGCGACACCGGCCACCCUGGUGAUCACCAGGGUCGACCCGGCACAUGGGGCUACCGAGGCAGGCGUCUGCUUCCUCCCUUUCCGCGCCACAUGUGCCCCUGCCAAAGCUGCGCUGGUCGAACAGGACCCCCCCAUUCCCGCAGAAGAGGGCCCGG
rnacentral:snRNA from 1 species